CCCUUAGAUGUUCUGGGCCGCACGCGUGCUACACUGAGUGGAUCAGCGGGUCAGGUUGCGCGAAAGUGUUUCCUAAUCUUUAAAUCCGCUCGUGAUGGGGAUUGACGGUUGCAAUUUUCCGUCAUGAACGAGGAAUACCUUGUAAGCGCGGGUCAUCAUCCCGCGCUGAAUACGUCCCUGCCCUUUGUACACACCGCCCGUCGCUCCUACCGAUUGAGUGGUCCGGUGAGGCUUUGGGAUCUGAGCGGAAAGAGCGUUUCGCUGUCUCUGCCCGGAAAACUCAGUCGAACCUUAUCAUUUAGAGGAAGGAGAAGUCGUAACA
rnacentral:rRNA from 1 species